AGACCCGAAACCCGGUGAUCUAGCCAUGGGCAGGUUGAAGGUUGGGUAACACUAACUGGAGGACCGAACCGACUAAUGUUGAAAAAUUAGCGGAUGACCUGUGGCUGGGGGUGAAAGGCCAAUCAAACCGGGAGAUAGCUGGUUCUCCCCGAAAGCUAUUUAGGUAGCGCCUCGUGAAUUCAUCUCCGGGGGUAGAGCACUGUUUCGGCUAGGGGGCCAUCCCGGCUUACCAACCCGAUGCAAACUGCGAAUACCGGAGAAUGUUAUCACGGGAGACACACGGCGGGUGCUAACGUCCGUCGUGAAGAGGGAAACAACCCAGACCGCCAGCUAAGGUCCCAAAGUCAUGGUUAAGUGGGAAACGAUGUGGGAAGGCCCAGACAGCCAGGAUGUUGGCUUAGAAGCAGCCAUCAUUUAAAGAAAGCGUAAUAGCUCACUGGUCGAGUCGGCCUGCGCGGAAGAUGUAACGGGGCUAAACCAUGCACCGAAGCUGCGGCAGCGACGCUGAUGCGUUGUUGGGUAGGGGAGCGUUCUGUAAGCCUGCGAAGGUGUGUCGUGAGGCAUGCUGGAGGUAUCAGAAGUGCGAAUGCUGACAUAAGUAACGAUAAAGCGGGUGAAAAGCCCGCUCGCCGGAAGACCAAGGGUUCCUGUCCAACGUUAAUCGGGGCAGGGUGAGUCGACCCCUAAGGCGAGGCCGAAAGGCGUAGUCGAUGGGAAACGGGUUAAUAUUCCCGUACUUGGUGUUACUGCGAAGGGGGGACGGAGAAGGCUAUGUUGGCCGGGCGACGGUUGUCCCGGUUUAAGCGUGUAGGUGUGUGUUCCAGGUAAAUCCGGUUCACUUUAACACUGAGGCGUGAUGACGAGGCACUACGGUGCUGAAGCAACAAAUGCCCUGCUUCCAGGAAAAGCCUCUAAGCAUCAGGUAACAUCAAAUCGUACCCCAAACCGACACAGGUGGUCAGGUAGAGAAUACCAAGGCGCUUGAGAGAACUCGGGUGAAGGAACUAGGCAAAAUGGUGCCGUAACUUCGGGAGAAGGCACGCUGACACGUAGGUGAAGUGAUUUACUCAUGGAGCUGAAGUCAGUCGAAGAUACCAGCUGGCUGCAACUGUUUAUUAAAAACACAGCACUGUGCAAACACGAAAGUGGACGUAUACGGUGUGACGCCUGCCCGGUGCCGGAAGGUUAAUUGAUGGGGUCAGCGCAAGCGAAGCUCCUGAUCGAAGCCCCGGUAAACGGCGGCCGUAACUAUAACGGUCCUAAGGUAGCGAAAUUCCUUGUCGGGUAAGUUCCGACCUGCACGAAUGGCGUAAUGAUGGCCAGGCUGUCUCCACCCGAGACUCAGUGAAAUUGAACUCGCUGUGAAGAUGCAGUGUACCCGCGGCAAGACGGAAAGACCCCGUGAACCUUUACUAUAGCUUGACACUGAACAUUGAGCCUUGAUGUGUAGGAUAGGUGGGAGGCUUUGAAGUGUGGACGCCAGUCUGCAUGGAGCCGGCCUUGAAAUACCACCCUUUAAUGUUUGAUGUUCUAACGUGGACCCGUGAUCCGGGUUGCGGACAGUGUCUGGUGGGUAGUUUGACUGGGGCGGUCUCCUCCUAAAGAGUAACGGAGGAGCACGAAGGUUGGCUAAUCCUGGUCGGACAUCAGGAGGUUAGUGCAAUGGCAUAAGCCAGCUUGACUGCGAGCGUGACGGCGCGAGCAGGUGCGAAAGCAGGUCAUAGUGAUCCGGUGGUUCUGAAUGGAAGGGCCAUCGCUCAACGGAUAAAAGGUACUCCGGGGAUAACAGGCUGAUACCGCCCAAGAGUUCAUAUCGACGGCGGUGUUUGGCACCUCGAUGUCGGCUCAUCACAUCCUGGGGCUGAAGUAGGUCCCAAGGGUAUGGCUGUUCGCCAUUUAAAGUGGUACGCGAGCUGGGUUUAGAACGUCGUGAGACAGUUCGGUCCCUAUCUGCCGUGGGCGCUGGAGAACUGAGGGGGGCUGCUCCUAGUACGAGAGGACCGGAGUGGACGCAUCACUGGUGUUCGGGUUGUCAUGCCAAUGGCACUGCCCGGUAGCUAAAUGCGGAAGAGAUAAGUGCUGAAAGCAUCUAAGCACGAAACUUGCCCCGAGAUGAGUUCUCCCUGAGACUUAGAGUCUCCUGAAGGAACGUUGAAGACGACGACGUUGAUAGGCCGGGUGUGUAAGCGCAGCGAUGCGUUGAGCUAACCGGUACUAAUGAACCGUGAGGCUUAACCUU
rnacentral:rRNA from 4 species